GCCUCGGUGGUGUAGUGGUAAAGACCCUCGCAUGGUAAACAGGAGGAUGUGGGUUCAAUCCCAGCCGAGGCA
rfam:Asian citrus Psyllid, Diaphorina citri - Florida Strain, whole genome shotgun sequence.